rnacentral:lncRNA from 1 species
UCUGAAGAGCUUGUGAUGCAAAGAAGCAGGGUGCAGUGGUGGUGGUGCAUGUAGCAAGUUCCUGGAGCAGCAGUGGCAGUGAUAUUAUAUUGGCUAGGGAUAGUGGAGGUUGGCAGUGGAAGCAGAGGUGUCCUGAUCAGACUAGUUCUGCUACCUGGUUUUAGGCGUUGUACUUGUCAUCCACCCCUGGUUUUCCACUUCUCCAGGUGAGUCUGAGUUACUCUUUUGAUAAGUUCUUUUUCCUGCUUAAAUU